GCCAUCAUUUAAAGAAAGCGUAAUAGCUCACUGGUCGAGUCGGCCUGCGCGGAAGAUGUAACGGGGCUAAACCAUGCACCGAAGCUGCGGCAGCGACAUGAAAGUGUUGCUGGGUAGGGGAGCGUUCUGUAAGCCGCAGAAGGUGGCCUGUGAGGGCUGCUGGAGGUAUCAGAAGUGCGAAUGCUGACAUAAGUAACGAUAAAGCGGGUGAAAAACCCGCUCGCCGGAAGACCAAGGGUUCCUGUCCAACGUUAAUCGGGGCAGGGUGAGUCGACCCCUAAGGCGAGGCCGACAGGCGUAGUCGAUGGGCAACAGGUUAAUAUUCCUGUACCCGGUGUGACUGCGAAGGGGGGACGGAGAAGGCUAGGCCAGCCGGGCGACGGUCGUCCCGGUUGAAGCGUGUAGGUGGGUGGUUUUGGAAAAUCCGGACCGCUGAUAACACUGAGGCGUGAUAACGAGGCACUACGGUGCUGAAGUGGUUGAUGCCCUGCUUCCAGGAAAAGCCUCUAAGCAUCAGGUCACAUUGGAUCGUACCCCAAACCGACACAGGUGGUCAGGUAGAGAAUACUCAGGCGCUUGAGAGAACUCGGGUGAAGGAACUAGGCAAAAUGGUGCCGUAACUUCGGGAGAAGGCACGCUGGCGCCAGGUGAAGGAACGAGCUUCCGGAGCCGAGGCCAGUCGCAGAUACCAGCUGGCUGCAACUGUUUAAUAAAAACACAGCACUGUGCAAACACGCAAGUGGACGUAUACGGUGUGACGCCUGCCCGGUGCUGGAAGGUUAAUUGAUGGGGUUAUCGCGUUGCGAGAAGCUCUUGAUCGAAGCCCCAGUAAACGGCGGC
rnacentral:rRNA from 1 species